GUCCACGCCCUAAACGAUGUACACUAGUUGUUGUGAGACUUGAUCUUGCAGUAAUGCAGUUAACACAUUAAGUGUACCGCCUGGGGAGUACGGUCGCAAGAUUAAAACUCAAAGGAAUAGACGGGGACCCGCACAAGCGGUGGAGCAUGUGGUUUAAUUCGACGAUACACGAAGAACCUUACCUGGACUUGACAUAGUAAGAACUUUCUAGAGAUAGAUUGGUGUCUGCUUGCAGAAACUUAUAUACAGGUGCUGCACGGCU
rnacentral:rRNA from 1 species